rnacentral:miRNA from 12 species
CAACGCUUUGACAGCAGGAAUUU